rnacentral:rRNA from 1 species
AUUGAACGCUGGCGGAAUGCUUUGCACAUGCAAGUCGAACGGCAGCACGGGGGCAACCCUGGUGGCGAGUGGCGAACGGGUGAGUAAUACAUCGGAACGUGCCCGGUCGUGGGGGAUAACGUAGCGAAAGUUACGCUAAUACCGCAUACGAUCUGAGGAUGAAAGCGGGGGACCUUCGGGCCUCGCGCGAUCGGAGCGGCCGAUGUCAGAUUAGGUAGUUGGUGGGGUAAAGGCCUACCAAGCCGACGAUCUGUAGCUGGUCUGAGAGGACGACCAGCCACACUGGGACUGAGACACGGCCCAGACUCCUACGGGAGGCAGCAGUGGGGAAUUUUGGACAAUGGGCGCAAGCCUGAUCCAGCCAUUCCGCGUGCAGGACGAAGGCCUUCGGGUUGUAAACUGCUUUUGUAUGGAACGAAAAGGCUCUGGCUAAUACCUGGGGCUCAUGACGGUACCGUAAGAAUAAGCACCGGCUAACUACGUG